rnacentral:rRNA from 1 species
UACGGAGGAUGCGAGCGUUAUCCGGAUUUAUUGGGUUUAAAGGGUGCGCAGGCGGAUUUUUAAGUCAGCGGUCAAAUCGUGGGGCUCAACCCCAUCCAGCCGUUGAAACUGGGGAUCUAGAGUGUGCGAGAGGUAUGCGGAAUGCGUGGUGUAGCGGUGAAAUGCAUAGAUAUCACUCAGAACCCCGAUUGCGAAGGCAGCAUACCGGUGCACAACUGACGCUCAGGCACGAAAGCGUGGGUAUCGAACAGG